GAUGGAGCAACGCCGCGUGAGUGAAGAAGGCUUUCGGGUCGUAAAACUCUGUUGUUGGAGAAGAAUGGUCGGCAGAGUAACUGUUGUCGGCGUGACGGUAUCCAACCAGAAAGCCACGGCUAACUACGUGCCAGCAGCCGCGGUAAUACGUAGGUGGCAAGCGUUAUCCGGAUUUAUUGGGCGUAAAGCGAGCGCAGGCGGUUUUUUAAGUCUGAUGUGGAAGCCCUCGGCUUAACCGAGGAAGUGCAUCGGAAACUGGGAAACUUGAGUGCAGAAGAGGACAGUGGAACUCCAUGUGUAGCGGUGAAAUGCGUAGAUAUGCGGAAGAACACCAGUGGCGAAGGCGGCUGUCUGGUCUGUAACUGACGCUGAGGCUCGAAAGCAUGGGUAGCGAACAGGAUUAGAUACCCUGGUAGUCCAUGCCGUAAACGAUGAAUGCUAGGUGUUGGAGGGUUUCCGCCCUUCAGUGCCGCAGCUAACGCAUUAAGCAUUCCGCCUGGGGAGUACGACCGCAAGGUUGAAACUCAAAGGAAUUGACGGGGGCCCGCACAAGCGGUGGAGCAUGUGGUUUAAUUCGAAGCAACGCGAAGAACCUUACCAGGUCUUGACAUUCUUUUGAUCACCUGAGAGAUCAGGUUUCCC
rnacentral:rRNA from 2 species